GAUGAACGCUAGCGGGAGGCCUAACACAUGCAAGCCGAGCGGUAGAUUGCUUUCGGGCAAUUGAGAGCGGCGCACGGGUGCGGAACACGUGUGCAACCUGCCUUUAUCUGGGGGAUAGCCUUUCGAAAGGAAGAUUAAUACCCCAUAACAUAUUGAUUGGCAUCAAUUAAUAUUGAAAGCUCCGGCGGAUAGAGAUGGGCACGCGCAAGAUUAGAUAGUUGGUGAGGUAACGGCUCACCAAGUCAAUGAUCUUUAGGGGGCCUGAGAGGGUGAUCCCCCACACUGGUACUGAGACACGGACCAGACUCCUACGGGAGGCAGCAGUGAGGAAUAUUGGACAAUGGGUGAGAGCCUGAUCCAGCCAUCCCGCGUGAAGGACGACGGCCCUAUGGGUUGUAAACUUCUUUUGUACAGGGAUAAACCUUUCCACGUGUGGGAAGCUGAAGGUACUGUACGAAUAAGCACCGGCUAACUCCGUGCCAGCAGCCGCGGUAAUACGGAGGGUGCAAGCGUUAUCCGGAUUUAUUGGGUUUAAAGGGUCCGUAGGCGGAUCUGUAAGUCAGUGGUGAAAUCUCACAGCUUAACUGUGAAACUGCCAUUGAUACUGCAGGUCUUGAGUAAAUUUGAAGUGGCUGGAAUAAGUAGUGUAGCGGUGAAAUGCAUAGAUAUUACUUAGAACACCAAUUGCGAAGGCAGGUCACUAAGAUUUAACUGACGCUGAGGGACGAAAGCGUGGGGAGCGAACGGGAUUAGAUACCCUGGUAGUCCACGCCGUAAACGAUGCUAACUCGUUUUUGGGUUUUCGGAUUCAGAGACUAAGCGAAAGUGAUAAGUUAGCCACCUGGGGAGUACGUUCGCAAGAAUGAAACUCAAAGGAAUUGACGGGGGCCCGCACAAGCGGUGGAUUAUGUGGUUUAAUUCGAUGAUACGCGAGGAACCUUACCAAGACUUAAAUGGGAAUUGACAGAUUUAGAAAUAGAUCCUCCUUCGGGCAAUUUUCAAGGUGCUGCAUGGUUGUCGUCAGCUCGUGCCGUGAGGUGUUAGGUUAAGUCCUGCAACGAGCGCAACCCCUGUCACUAGUUGCUACCAUUCAGUUGAGGACUCUAGUGAGACUGCCUACGCAAGUAGAGAGGAAGGUGGGGAUGACGUCAAAUCAUCACGGCCCUUACGUCUUGGGCCACACACGUAAUACAAUGGCCGGUACAGAGGGCAGCUACACAGCGAUGUGAUGCAAAUCUCGAAAGCCGGUCUCAGUUCGGAUUGGAGUCUGCAACUCGACUCUAUGAAGCUGGAAUCGCUAGUAAUCGCGCAUCAGCCAUGGCGCGGUGAAUACGUUCCCGGGCCU
rnacentral:rRNA from 1 species